rnacentral:lncRNA from 1 species
CAAACCACUAUCACAAAACUCAUGAAACCGUACUAGACUGUACUUCGCCAUAACCAUAGCAACAAAAUUAAGUCCCGAGAUCUAAAAGAACUUUCAGAGUCAGAUAACUUAACUUUUUAACAUUCAUUAGCAGCGGCGUGUACUCUCACAAAGGGGGUAUCAAACACGUUAUGGGCUUGGUAAAAAAAAGGCUAAUAUUCGGUGGCUCAAGUGUUUCUGGUUCUCAAACAGUGUAAAACGGAUGCAUGUCAUUAUGCGAAAUCACAGUGAGACACAGACCAACUAGGAGGUACAUAGCUUCCCUUAAGCUCAGAUCAAAUCAACCAACACACUACCCCAAUCAAAUCAAUGCGUACCCUUGAUGCUUAUCAACGUAACUAAUAUCAACUCGACAUUUCCGGUUCCAUUCAUUCUCCUUUCCCGUUAUUCUUUUCAUUUCCGUUUUUUUCUUUCUUUCUUUUUUUUUUUUUUUUUUUUUUUUUUUUUUUUUUUUUUUACGGGGGAGUGGAACCGGUGUCUCACAUAAUCUGCAUCAAGAAAAACCGCAAGCGAUAACAACAUAUCCCAUGAAUACAACCUCUAAACCAUAGUGGAUCAAUCUCAUCAUAUAUCAGCAACCAGUAAACUACAACUCACUAUCCUAACAGAAGGAAA